UACAGAGGUGCCAAGCGUUAGGCGGAAUCACUGGGCUCAAAGCGCGCGUAGGCGGAUGUUUAAGUGUCUUGUGAAAUCCCACGGCUCAACCGUGGAACUGCUGGGCAUACUGGACAUCUCGAGGCACUCAGGGGCGAGCGGAACAAGUGGUGGAGCGGUGAAAUGCGUAGAUAUCACUUGGAACGCCAAUGGUGAAGACAGCUCGCUGGGGGUGUCCUGACGCUGAGGCGCGAAAGCCAGGGGAGCGAACGGG
rnacentral:rRNA from 1 species